GAUUGCCGCACUCAUUAGAAGCUGUCCCGCAGUGUCCUGAUUUUUUGAAGAAAUUUUGUGUUUAUUGAUUAGGAGUAGGAAAAAAACUAUGCCAAAAGUGAGUGUUUCGUGGGUCCAUCGGUAUGAAAAGGAUCCUGGAAACAAGAUCUACUUGGGACACGGCAACCUCUACGAACCAAAAAAAAAGAAGAGACUGUGUUCACGCUGAAUCCUGCUAUCACAGAAGACGAAAAUAACGUCGAUCAUCAACGAUUGCCCAGACAAGCAGAAACAGCGUGAUCAAGACCGACGAACCAUUCUUCGAUAGUCUUCUCUAGGUAAGCAGUGAAAGUUUACUCAGAAUUUUCAUUAAUUCUCUCGCACGAAAUCGUAACACCGUCGAAGUUUAUCGACGAGUUUGAGAACUUUGAGCCCAACAA